rnacentral:rRNA from 1 species
AAGCGCUCAUGACCAGACUUGCACCUGGUGGAUCACCUAGCGUUCUCGCUGGGGUACUCUGCCUGGUUCAGGCCAGCAUCGGUUUUUUUAGGGGGAUAAAAGCUUUGGGAACGUAGCUCUUCGGAGUGUUAUAGCCCUUUGUAUAAUACCCUUUAGGAGACCGAGGUUCGCGCUCUGCAAGGAUGCUGGCAUAAUGGUCAUCAGCGA